UACAAACUCCAUGCAGAUGUUGUCCUUGGUCGUACAUUCAAGUUUGGACCAGGGGAACGAAUCAACAAAGCUCAUGGAAGAGGACAGUCAUAUACAAGUUCUUACCUCCUGGUAGCAAAAAGAAAUGGGACCCACCAUGGCUGUGUCCUGGAAAGUCAAGAAACCCUGACAACCCACCUGACAUCCUGCCUACGGGUUCAAAACCUAUGGCCAUGAUAGUUUAUUUCAAUUACGUACCAUGAUGUAAUGCAACUUGGCGAAAUACAUCAAGCAUACAAGUCUAUAAAAGCAAACUUCCGCCACAUUUCUAAAAUUCUUUCUAGUCGUAGGCACACACACACACAUUUCUUGUAGGAUAUCUUAUGGACUGGUUCUAGUGAGUGACUAUUAAUUGGAAAGGCUAGGUACUAGUGGUCCCACUUGUUAGUCACUUCAACCCAACUAAUAAGAAACAAGAGGAUGAUCUGAACUUGAUAAAAAUGUUAAGAACAUUUAAAAGAAACCCUUAAACACUCGAGAAAUUCUAAUGUAAGCAAAUUGUAUGAAAAACACCUAUGACACCGCCCGUUAGAGCCUGCUUUGAGCCCUGACAAUUCCGUUGACACGUCUAUAUGGGGCUUGUUAACAUCAGCAGUUAUUGCUUGAAGCUUCAGGUGCCUUCAUGACUGAUAAUGUGGGCCUCGGGGCAUCCAAGCACAGCUCACAUCCGGAGCCCUCGGGAGUUGGCAAAUGGUAGUUUAUAAGUGGUUAUAUGACUCGGAUGUCAAUAAAUGUUUUUCUGAUCUGCCGGAAA